rnacentral:rRNA from 1 species
UACGAAGGGGGCUAGCGUUGUUCGGAAUUACUGGGCGUAAAGCGCGCGCAGGCGGUUCUUCAAGUCAGGGGGGAAAUCCCGGAGCUCAACUCCGGAACUGCCCUUGAAACUGCAAUGCUAGAAUCUUGGAGAGGCGAGUGGAAUUCCGAGUGUAGAGGUGAAAUUCGUAGAUAUUCGGAAGAACACCAGUGGCGAAGGCGACUCGCUGGACAAGUAUUGACGCUGAGGUGCGAAAGCGUGGGGAGCAAACAGG